CCGUGCAAGAUAUUAAACAUAGACGGUCUGAGGUUAUUAAUUCAAUAACCAGUACUUGCUAGGGCAAUGCAGCUUGCUAGGGCAACACAUGCAAAUACUAGGGCAUUGAGCUUUGUUUCCAGCAAAUGUGAGGUGCUCAUCAAUUGCAUACCCUGCAGUAUGCUUCCAAACAUGGCUCCACAUCUAGAAUAUGUUGAAACCAAAAAGGUCAUUUUCUCAUAUCAAUUCUAUACCAUCAGAUGGGAGGGCACAUAAAAUUGUGAUCUCGGAAUACAUAUCAAAGUUUGUGCAGUAUUUUGCACCAAUAGUUGCCUUCCUCAAUUUGAAUUGAAGUUUAAGCAGUCAUUUCUAAGGAUAUAAAAGACAAUAUUUGCUAGUUGUCAGUUCAUAGACUUCCUUCCAGUGGAGUGUGAUUGCAGAAACUUAGAGUAACAGCUUCCCAUUGAUUUUUGUAGGAGAAUAAUAGAAGCGAAAGCUCAACAACUACAUAAUCCAGAAGCACCAGACUGAGUUUGUCAAUGGUCUCAUCCAUUAAAUGGACUUGAAAAAUCAUCCACAAAACCGUAAACUAACUCAGCGGAGGGAAAGGGAAAGAGCAAUCCCUAUAGGCAAUAACUUCAGAUCAACUGCUAAUAUGAAAUUUAUCAAUGCAUGUUUCAUUUUUCCUACUGGCUUGAAACAAUUUAGAUACAGAAAUUGAGGGAAGGGGAGGAGAGCUCUCUUUCCCAAGGAGAAGUCAUUGCACAUAUUUAAUCCUCCCAUUUGAUUCAGAGUGGUUCUCUAAUUUUACCUAGUAUGCCUCCAAAGGCAUUGCAGGAUACUGGCCAGAAUGGCCAGAAAUAGCAAAGUUGUCCACUGGCUUUUUUUUUUUUCUGGCUGAAACAAAUAGAAACAGAUGAAAUGGCUGUAGCAGACCAGAAUACCAGAACAAAGAGUUGUCCAUUUCAAAUCCUGUAACUUUACUGGUGCAAAAUGGUGGCGCCAGAAUGAAACUACGUCGAUGAACACACUCAUCUUUCUUACCUAGCUGCGAUUUCUGGAGAGUAAGAAACGAA